rnacentral:rRNA from 1 species
AUUGAACGCUGGCGGAAUGCUUUACACAUGCAAGUCGAGCGGCAGCGCGGCCUUCGGGCUGGCGGCGAGCGGCGAACGGGUGAGUAGUGCAUCGGAACAUGCCCAGUCGUGGGGGAUAACACUUCGAAAGAAGUGCUAAUAUCGCAUACGUCCUGAGGGGGAAAGCGGGGGUUCUCAAGACCUCGCGGGUCUGGAGUGGCCGAUGUCAGAUUAGCUAGUUGGUGAGGUAAAGGCCUACCAAGGCGACGAUCUGUAGCUGGUCUGAGAGGAUGAUCAGCCACACUGGGACUGAGACACGGCCCAGACUCCUACGGGAGGCAGCAGUGGGGAAUUUUGGACAAUGGGGGCAAGCCUGAUCCAGCCAUUCCGCGUGAGUGAAGAAGGCCUUCGGGUUGUAAAGCUCUUUCGGCAGGAACGAAACGGUGGGCUCUAACAUAGUCCGCUAAUGACGGUACCUGAAGAAGAAGCACCGGCUAACUACGUG